UCACCUUCCCUCCCUGGGUAAGGAGGCCGGGUUGGGGGGCGGGGGUCGUACCUGCCUGCUCAUCUGGGAUGCCCCCCUCCACCUGCAGCUCUCCAGCCAUGGCCUCAGGGAGCAGGGGCUGUCACCCUGGGCAUGUGGCCGCGUGUUUUCUCUUCUCACUGGGACUUCUCAGAGGAGUGACGUACUGACCAUCCCCUAAUAUUUGGAGACUCUGCCCAGCGGAACGAGCUGUCUCCCCUGCUGUCAGGCCAAAUCAGCAAAAACUUUGCUCAGCAAGACUGUGAGACCUUGGAUCUUCUCAGAAUAGGAUGAGGGGUCAACUUGAGAAGACACGUGCGCUGUUCUGUGAAGAUACUAUACUUCAUCGCCCAGGGGGGAGUGUCCAAGGAGAUUCUGGAAGCUUGAAGUAAACUUUAAAAAGCAAAGAAUUUCCUUUCUCCCCAGCCAAGCCCUGCUUCGAACUGCAACAUGAACAGCUUCAUAGCAGAGGGACUUGGGAGAGCUCUCAGUUGGGGCCUCAUAUAGGGCGGCCUCAAGACUUGUCCUGGCGAUGAUGCUGGGGUUGAUAUGGUCCAGUGAGAAGAGAAUCGGCUCUGGAGUUGGGCCUGGAUUCCAUUCCUGAUUCUGCUGCCUGUCAGCCCAGUGACCCUGGGCAAAGAACUCAACCCCUCUGAGCCCAUUUUUCCAUAUUUGCAAAAUGGACAGUAGUCCCUACUUCACAGGUUGUGGAGGGACCUUAAAGGACAAUAAAUCUCUAGCGUAUGGUUUGGAAGUUAA